CAGUCGCCGCGGUAAUACAGAGGGUGCAAGCGUUAAUCGGAAUUACUGGGCGUAAAGCGCGCGUAGGUGGUUUGUUAAGUUGGAUGUGAAAUCCCCGGGCUCAACCUGGGAACUGCAUCCAAAACUGGCAAGCUAGAGUAUGGUAGAGGGUGGUGGAAUUUCCUGUGUAGCGGUGAAACGCGUAGAUAUAGGAAGGAACACCAGUGGCGAAGGCGACCACCUGGACUGAUACUGACACUGAGGUGCGAAAGCGUGGGGAGCAAACAGGAUUAGAUACCCCCGUAGUCCCUGUCUCUUAUAC
rnacentral:rRNA from 1 species